rnacentral:rRNA from 1 species
CCCUUAGAUGUUCUGGGCUGCACGCGCGCUACACUGAUGCGAUCAACAAGUUUUUCCUAUGUCGAUAGACACGGGUAAUCUUUUGAACUCGCAUCGUGAUGGGGAUAGAUUAUUGUAAUUAUUAAUCUUCAACGAGGAAUUCCUAGUAGGUGCAAAUCAUCAGUUUGCAUCGAUUACGUCCCUGCCCUUUGUACACACCGCCCGUCGCUGCUACCGAUUGGUUGAUCUGGUGAAUUAUUCGGACUGCCGGCUGAAGGGGUUUCCUCAUCUGCCAGCGGAAAGUCUUGUUAACCCCAUCAACUAGAGGAAGCAGAAGUCGUAACA